UAACAAGGAUUCCCCUAGUAACUGCGAGUGAAGCGGGAAAAGCUCAAAUUUAAAAUCUGGUAGUCUCUGGCUGCCCGAGUUGUAAUCUGGAGAAGUGUUUUCUGUGCUGGGCCGUGUACAAGUCUCUUGGAAUAGAGCGUCAUAGAGGGUGAGAAUCCCGUCUUUGACACGGACAUCCAGUGCUCUGUGAUGCACUCUCAAAGAGUCGAGUUGUUUGGGAAUGCAGCUCAAAAUGGGUGGUAAAUUCCAUCUAAAGCUAAAUAUUGGCAAGAGACCGAUAGCGAACAAGUACCGUGAGGGAAAGAUGAAAAGAACUUUGGAAAGAGAGUUAAACAGUACGUGAAAUUGUUGAAAGGGAAACGCUUGAAGUCAGUCGCGUCUAGCAAGGAUCAGCCUUUCUCGGAAGGUGUAUUUCUUGCUUGACGGGUCAACAUCAAUUUUGACUACUGGAAAAAGGCCAGAGGAAGGUGGCACCUUCGGGUGUGUUAUAGCCUUUGGUCAUAUACAGUAGUUGGGAUUGAGGAAUUCAGCAUGCCUUCAUGGCUGGGGUUCGCCCACAUUCAUGCUUAGGAUGUUGGCAUAAUGGCUUUAAGCGACCCGUCUUGAAACACGGACCAAGGAGUCUAACAUACCUGCGAGUGUUUGGGUGUAAAAACCCGAGCGCGUAAUGAAAGUGAAAGUUGAGACCCUUUUAAGGGGCAUCGACGCCCGGACCAGACCUUCUGUGACGGAUCUGCGGUAGAGCAUGUAUGUUGGGACCCGAAAGAUGGUGAACUAUGCCUGAAUAGGGUGAAGCCAGAGGAAACUCUGGUGGAGGCUCGUAGCGA
rnacentral:rRNA from 1 species